UACCCUUGACAUACAGUAGAUUUAACAGAGAUGUUGAAGUGCCUUCGGGAAUACUGAUAC
rnacentral:rRNA from 1 species